CGUGUUUCUCAAGUGUCUUCUGGUUGCCUGCAGAGAAGGAAAUGCCAAAAGGGGACCUUGCCCUCUACAUCAAGACCCUGAACUCCAUGGACAGCAUGCUGAGGACAAUGGUGCUCAGCUUUCCUGCCUCUGAAGUCAGUGACGAGCUGCAGGGCAUCUUGGAGCUGCUGCUGGACUUCACCAGAUGCAAGGGAGAGGCUGUGAGGGAGAGGGCCAUGGCAAGGAUUGAUGUGCUGACCUGUGUGCUGUCCGACUAUUCCACUCUGCAGG